rnacentral:rRNA from 1 species
GACGAACGCUGGCGGCGUGCUUAACACAUGCCAGUCGAACGGAAAGGCCCUGCUUUUGUGGGGUGCUCGAGUGGCGAACGGGUGAGUAACACGUGAGUAACCUGCCCUUGACUUUGGGAUAACUUCAGGAAACUGGGGCUAAUACCGGAUAGGAGCUCCUGCUGCAUGGGGGGGGUUGGAAAGUGUCGGCGGUUGGGGAUGGACUCGAGGGUUAUCAGCUUGUUGGUGGGGUAGUGGCUUACCAAGGCUUUGACGGGUAGCCCGCCUGAGAGGGUGGCCGGGCACAAUGGGACUGCGGUACGGCCCAGACUCCUACCGGCGGCAGCAGUGGGGAAUAUUGCACAAUGGCCGGAAGCCUGAUGCAGCAACGCCGCGUGCGGGAUGACGGCCUUCGGGUUGUAAACCGCUUUCGCCUGUGACGAAGCGUGAGUGACGGUAAUGGGUAAAGAAGCCCCGGCUAACUACGUG